CCUACGGGUGACAGCAGUGGGGAAUAUUGGGCAAUGGGCGCAAGCCUGACCCAGCAACGCCGCGUGAAGGAAGAAGGCUUUCGGGUUGUAAACUUCUUUUGUGGGGGAAGAGUAGAAGACGGUACCUCUUGAAUAAGCCACGGCUAACUACGUGCCAGCAGCCGCGGUAAUACGUAGGUGGCAAGCGUUGUCCGGAUUUACUGGGUGUAAAGGGCGUGCAGCCGGGAGGACAAGUCAGAUGUGAAAUCCCGCGGCUCAACCGCGGAACUGCAUUUGAAACUGUUUAUCUUGAGUACCGGAGAGGCAAACGGAAUUCCUAGUGUAGCGGUGAAAUGCGUAGAUAUAAGGAGGAACACCAGUGGCGAAGGCGGAUGACUGGACGGCAACUGACGGUGAGGCGCGAAAGCGUGGGGAGCAAACAGGAUUAGAUACCCCUGUAGUC
rnacentral:rRNA from 1 species